GUGGUGUUUGGAUUGUCUCUGCCGGCUGGCUCCGUGCUCGUCCACCGAACGGGCGGCAGGCAAUCCGUGUCGGUUGCGCGAGGUGGGAUUGAUGGUGCCCCGGAGGCUGGUUCUUGUGCUGCCUACCCCUUCAAGGGAAGCAGGCCACUUGACGGUUAAGCCUCCAUCCCGCGCCUUCCAACGGGCGCGGGAGGACAGCGAAGCACGCCCCGUGUUCCGCCGAGCCCCCGCCGGUCGCGCGGCCCUCGGGGACGUGCAACGCUCUCGGACCCAGUGCACGCCGCGGACGGGGACUCACGUCCCGGUCCUAAGAGAAGCUUCGGCAUUACGUGUGACGGCCGCCCCCGCCCCCCGACCGCCCCGGCGGCGCGAGGGCGACGGGCGGCGUCGUGGAGGAAUGCUACCUGGUUGAUCCU
rnacentral:misc_RNA from 1 species